GAGUUUGAUCGUGGCUCAGGAUUAACGCUAGCGGCAGGCAUAAUACAUGCAAGUUGAACGAGAUAAGCUGUAGCAAUAUGGCUUUGAAAGUGGCGCACGGGUGCGUAACACGUAUGCAACCUACCUUUACAGGGGAGUAGCCUCUCGAAAGAGAGAUUAAUACCCCAUAAUAUAUUUGUUGGGCAUCUAAUGAAUAUUAAAGCUGAGGCGGUAAAAGAUGGGCAUGCGGCUGAUUAGCUAGUUGGUGGGGUAAAGGCCACCAAGGCGACGAUCAGUAGCUGGUCUGAGAGGACGAUCAGCCACACUGGGACUGAGACACGGCCCAGACUCCUACGGGAGGCAGCAGUGGGGAAUUUUGGACAAUGGGGGC
rnacentral:rRNA from 1 species